rnacentral:rRNA from 1 species
UGGUUCCUACGGGAGGCAGCAGUGAGGAAUAUUGGUCAAUGGUCGGGAGACUGAACCAGCCAAGCCGCGUGAGGGAGGAAGGUACAGAGUAUCGUAACCCUCUUUUGUCAGGGAACAAAGACUGGGACGCGUCCCCGGAUGAGUGUACCUGAAGAAAAAGCAUCGGCUAACUCCGUGCCAGCAGCCGCGGUAAUACGGAGGAUGCGAGCGUUAUCCGGAUUUAUUGGGUUUAAAGGGUGCGCAGGCGGUCUGUUAAGUCAGCGGUCAAAGCCCGGGGCUCAACCCCGGCCCGCCGUUGAAACUGG